rnacentral:rRNA from 1 species
AUGUGGACCCGUCUUCGUCAGCGCUAUCAGCCCUCUGGUCAUGCCUUAUACCUUUCUGUGGUCCGUCAGGAGCAUGCUCUUCAGCAGGGUGACUCUACUGUUGAUGACUUCUAUGCACAGAGUUCUGCUAUCUGGCGCCAGCUUGAUUCUCUCCGCAGUGCUGGUUGUCAUACCUGCCCCUGUUGUCAGGCUGUCCAGGCCAAUUUGGAGUUUCAUCGCGUCUAUGAGUUCCUGUCUCGGCUCCGUAAGGAGUUUGAGCCCCGGCGUGCUCAAUUGUUUGAUCGUGGCCGUAUUUCUCUCAUGGAGGCGCUUUCUGAGAUUCGUGCUGAGGAGACUCGCUUACGUGGUGCUGGUUUGCUGGAGGUUCCCUCUGUGCUCGCUACUCGUGCUCCUACGCCACCUGCUGCACCGACCCCUUCUCGCUCGAGUGCUCCGCCGCUCUUGCCCACUCCUUCUGGAGGCUCAGGUCGCCCCCGUCCACAUUGCGACUAUUGCAACAAUGAUGGUCAUCUUGAGUCUCAGUGCUACACGAAGAAGAAACACCUGCGCAAGGCGCGAUCGUCAUCUUCAGGGACUUCGUCA